AUGGGGAACUCGUACAGCAACGGCGGCUCGUCGUCGGGGCACCUGCAGGCGCCGGAGCUGCCGCUGCACCUCUGCUUCUUCCUACUCGUGCUGUUCGUCUUCCUCGGCUUCUCCUGGUACAUGAGCUACGAGUCAGUGGCGGAGACCUUCGCCGACCAGGGCAAGCUCCUGCUCAUGGUGUCCCCGCUCGCGCUGCUCCUCGCGGUGCGGCUGCUGUCGGGAGGCGACGGCGACGGGCGGCGCGUCGACCAGCUGAUGUCCAUGUCGAUGCCGGAGAGGGACUCCAUCCACCGCGCCGGGGGGUCGCCGUGGGGCGUCGGGCUCCUGCUCGUGCUGCUCAUCGUCAUGGUCUCCUACCAGUCCAACUUCCGGGAGAGGUGGUUCGCACUCUAG
rnacentral:rRNA from 1 species